rnacentral:rRNA from 1 species
UACAGAGGUCUCAAGCGUUUGUUCGGAUUCAUUGGGCGUAAAGGGUGCGUAGGCGGCGCGGUAGGUCGGGUGUGAAAUCUUGGAGCUUAACUCCGAAACUGCAUUCGAUACUGCCGUGCUUGAGGACUGGAGAGGAGACUGGAAUUUACGGUGUAGCGGUGAAAUGCGUAGAUAUCGGGAGGAACACCGGUGGCGAAGGCGGCAUCCUGGACCAACACUGACGCUGAGGAGCGAAAAGCCAGGGGGAGCAAACGGG